rnacentral:rRNA from 1 species
AACGAACGCUGGCGGCAUGCCUAACACAUGCAAGUCGAACGAGACCUUCGGGUCUAGUGGCGCACGGGUGCGUAACGCGUGGGAACCUGCCUUUAGGUUCGGAAUAACUCAGAGAAAUUUGAGCUAAUACCGGAUAAUGUCUUCGGACCAAAGAUUUAUCGCCUUUAGAUGGGCCCGCGUUGGAUUAGCUAGUUGGUGGGUAAAGGCCUACCAAGGCGACGAUCCAUAGCUGGUCUGAGAGGAUGAUCAGCCACACUGGGACUGA